GACGAACGCUGGCGGCGUGCUUAACACAUGCAAGUCGAACGAAGAGCGAUGGAAGCUUGCUUCUAUCAAUCUUAGUGGCGAACGGGUGAGUAACGCGUAAUCAACCUGCCCUUCAGAGGGGGACAACAGUUGGAAACGACUGCUAAUACCGCAUACGAUCUAAUCUCGGCAUCGAGGAUGGAUGAAAGGUGGCCUCUACAUGUAAGCUAUCACUGAAGGAGGGGAUUGCGUCUGAUUAGCUAGUUGGAGGGGUAACGGCCCACCAAGGCGAUGAUCAGUAGCCGGUCUGAGAGGAUGAACGGCCACAUUGGGACUGAGACACGGCCCAGACUCCUACGGGAGGCAGCAGUGGGGAAUCUUCCGCAAUGGACGAAAGUCUGACGGAGCAACGCCGCGUGAGUGAUGACGGCCUUCGGGUUGUAAAGCUCUGUUAAUCGGGACGAAAGGCCUUCUUGCGAAUAGUGAGAAGGAUUGACGGUACCGGAAUAGAAAGCCAUGGCUAACUACGUG
rnacentral:rRNA from 1 species